rnacentral:rRNA from 1 species
UGGGGAAUAUUGGACAAUGGGCGAAAGCCUGAUCCAGCAAUGCCGCGUGUGUGGAGGAGGUCUUCGGAUUGUAAAGCACUUUCGACGGGGACGAUGAUGACGGUACCCGUAGAAGAAGCCCCGGNUAACUUCGNGCCAG